UACGUAGGUGGCAAGCGUUAUCCGGAAUUACUGGGCGUAAAGCGCGCGUAGGCGGUUUUUUAAGUCUGAUGUGAAAGUCCACGGCUUAACCGGGGAGGGUCAUUGGAAACUGGAGAACUUGAGUGCAGAAGAGGAAGGUGGAAUUCCCGGUGUAGCGGUGAAAUGCGUAGAGAUAGGGAGGAACACCAGUGGCGAAGGCGGCCGUCUGGUCUGUAACUGACGCUGAGGGGCGAAAGCGUGGGGAGCAAACAGG
rnacentral:rRNA from 1 species